GUGAUAGUAGCUCAACUGGAAGAGCACUUGCCCGACACGCAAGGGGUUUUGAGUUCAAAUCUCAAGUAUCAUA
rnacentral:tRNA from 1 species